GCCUUCGUGGUGUAGUGGUCAGCACGCUGGGCGCGUAUUCCAGAUGUCCGUGGUUCGAGUCCCGGCGAAGGCG
rnacentral:tRNA from 1 species